UGAGACGCUCAUCAGCAGAGCAGGAGAC
rnacentral:piRNA from 1 species